UCAGGGAAACAACUAAGCCAAUGGCCUCUAUGAUCCUCAACUUCAUCUUCUUGCAGGUCCAGCUCCCUAAGAUUCCUGGGCAAGGAUGGAGGAAAGGGAAAGAAAGAAUCAGCAAUAACAUAGUUAAUAUCUCCAUCAGAAUUAUGAACACCCACCAUUCGUAUUAACCACCAACAACAUAUUUUCUUAUUGAAGUCAACUUACCAAGUGAUAAUUGCUUUUAAAUCAGCAUGUGUGCCUUUCAGAGGAUCUAAUAAGCAUUAAAUGGAUAACUAUUUCAACAUGCAGGCAAGUAAUCACUUUAUAAAGGAAUUAACUAUACAGACCAUUACUGAACACCACUAACCAACAAAAGCAAAAAAAUAAAUAAAUAAAGACAAGUUUAGGAAAAUUUCAGGACAACAGUUCACCCAUGAAGAAGACAUAUUUAUCUGUUAAUAAAGACAAAAUGAAGUACUAGAUUGUUUUAAUUGCCAACAAUAUACACACUAAAGAUAUUAGAAAGCAGACAAUAACUCAGUAAUUCAAGAUUUAGCACAUAAUUAGCAACAAAGGAAUCAAGCAUAGGAUCAGAUAGAUUUCUAGUUCAUAAACAAUAAGAUUAUCAAAUCAUCCAAACGGAUUGUUAUGUGUACGAACCUCUAAGUUAGAUCUCCCAAGAAAAAACUACAACUUCCUAAAUUACACUUGAGGUCUCCAUUUGUAUAUGACAGUAUUAACAGCUAAACCUUUAACAGUUACUAGAUAAUUGCACAUAAUGACAUCAAAGAAACAAACAAAACCCAGAUUGCAAAUAUAAACCCUCAAAAGUACCUAGUUGUCCUAACAAAAGUAUUUUAACCAAAAUAGCAAAUGAGACAUCGUACACUUUUUCUUUCUACUUAUACAAGCAAUUCAGAGUUAGACAAUCAUUAAAACCGUGUUAAAAGGGCAACCUAAAGCGAAAGUCAAAGUAACAACGCUUAAGCAGCCCAAAUAACCAUAAAACCAUAUAAAUUACAAGAGGGAAAAAAUUGAAGGAAAAAAAAAGAAGCAAAAAUAGUUAAUUGAUAGAGAGCCAGAUCACCAAAACAAAGAAGAACCAACAGACGCAUUUUUUUCUUACCUACAAUUAGCAGCUACAGCAGCAAGGCCAUCAGUAGUAAACCCUUCACAACUGACAAGAACCAGAGACUUAAAAUUCACAAAAGACCUUGAUAGUAGGUCCAAGCUGUCAUCGGAUACAACCAUUCUCUUAAGCCGGAGCUCCUCCAACCCAACCCGGUUG
rnacentral:lncRNA from 1 species